UGGGGUGUAGCCCAGUGAUGGACCAUGUGCUUGGCGUGCACAAGGUCCUGGGUUCAAUCCCCAGCACCUUCA
rnacentral:tRNA from 1 species